UCAAAUCAAAUGGUGUGCUAUUUCCAAUUAAGUGUUUUCUUUUUUGUGUUGAUCACGUGAAGCUUAUCAAUGGAUUAUUUUUUGUGUUGCAGAAAAUUGUGUGGUGAAUCAUCAUCAUACUUACUACCGAACUUUAUCAUCAACUAUCCAUCAUACUUUUCUCAUGCUCGUGAAGAGUAGCUCGUCAAACCAAUAUUGCAAAGGAUGCUGGCAUGCACUCUUCUUGUCAUUUCGACUGAGCCUUUCAAGUAGUGUGAUUCUGAGUUCAGGAGUGAGCCCGCAACUAAGACUGCAAAGAAUAUUGGCCAAAAAAGAUCUUUCUUCGCAUACUCAUCAUUGUACGUAAGUUGGAAGGUGAUGGGACGUGCAGCAUCUUCCUCACAACUGUGUUGAAAACGACUGAAAACCACAAAUU